rnacentral:rRNA from 1 species
CAUGCAAGUCGAACGAUGACUUCUGUGCUUGCACAGAAUGAUUAGUGGCGAACGGGUGAGUAACACGUGAGUAACCUGCCCUUGACUUCGGGAUAAGCCUGGGAAACCGGGUCUAAUACCGGAUACGACCUCCUGGCGCAUGCCAUGGGGGUGGAAAGCUUUAUUGCGGUUUUGGAUGGACUCGCGGCCUAUCAGCUUGUUGGUUGGGGUAAUGGCCCACCAAGGCGACGACGGGUAGCCGGCCUGAGAGGGUGACCGGCCACACUGGGACUGAGACACGGCCCAGACUCCUACGGGAGGCAGCAGUGGGGAAUAUUGCACAAUGGGCGAAAGCCUGAUGCAGCGACGCCGCGUGAGGGAUGACGGCCUUCGGGUUGUAAACCUCUUUCAGCAGGGAAGAAGCGAAAGUGACGGUACCUGCAGAAGAAGCGCCGGCUAACUACGUGCCAGCAGCCGCGGUAAUACGUAGGGCGCAAGCGUUAUCCGGAAUUAUUGGGCGUAAAGAGCUCGUAGGCGGUUUGUCGCGUCUGCUGUGAAAGCCCGGGGCUCAACCCCGGGUCUGCAGUGGGUACGGGCAGACUAGAGUGAUGUAGGGGAGACUGGAAUUCCUGGUGUAGCGGUGAAAUGCGCAGAUAUCAGGAGGAACACCGAUGGCGAAGGCAGGUCUCUGGGCAUUAACUGACGCUGAGGAGCGAAAGCAUGGGGAGCGAACAGGAUUAGAUACCCUGGUAGUCCAUGCCGUAAACGUUGGGCACUAGGUGUGGGGGACAUUCCACGUUUUCCGCGCCGUAGCUAACGCAUUAAGUGCC